GAUGAACGCUGGCGGCGUGCCUAAUACAUGCAAGUCGAGCGAACAGACGAGGAGCUUGCUCCUCUGACGUUAGCGGCGGACGGGUGAGUCACACGUGGAUCCCCUACCUAUAAGACUGGGAUAACUUCGAGACACCGGCGCUAAUCCCGGAUGAUCUCUUGCACCGCAUGGUUCAAUAGUGAAAGACGGUUUUGCUGUCACUUCUAGAUGCAUCCGCGCGGCAUUAGCUGGUUGGUACGUUAACGGCUUACCAAGGCAACCAUGCGUAGCCGACGUGAGAGAGUGAUAGGCGACACUGGAACGGAGACACGGUCAAGAGUACUACGGGAGGCAGCAGUAGGGAACGUGCCGCAAUGGGCGAAAGUCUGACGGAGUAACGGCGCGCGAGUGAUGAAGGUCUUCGGAGCGUAAAAACGUGUUAUGAGGGAAGAACAAAUGUGUAAGUAACUAUGGACGUCGUGACGGUACCGAAUCAGAAAGCCACGGCUAACUACGUG
rnacentral:rRNA from 1 species